rnacentral:rRNA from 1 species
GACGAACGCUGGCGGCGUGCUUAACACAUGCAAGUCGAACGGAAAGGCCCUGCUUUUGUGGGGUGCUCGAGUGGCGAACGGGUGAGUAACACGUGAGUAACCUGCCCUUGACUUUGGGAUAACUUCAGGAAACUGGGGCUAAUACCGGAUAGGAGCUCCCGCUGCAUGGUGGGGGUUGGAAAGUUUCGGCGGUUGGGGAUGGACUCGCGGCUUAUCAGCUUGUUGGUGGGGUAGUGGCUUACCAAGGCUUUGACGGGUAGCCGGCCUGAGAGGGUGACCGGCCACAUUGGGACUGAGAUACGGCCCAGACUCCUACGGGAGGCAGAAGUGGGGAAUAUUGCACAAUGGGCGGAAGCCUGAUGCAGCAACGCCGCGUGCGGGAUGACGGCCUUCGGGUUGUAAACCGCUUUCGCCUGUGACGAAGCGUGAGUGACGGUAAUGGGUAAAGAAGCACCGGCUAACUACGUG